rnacentral:rRNA from 1 species
GCGCGAAAACUUUACAAUGCUGGCAACAGCGAUAAGGGAACCUCGAGUGCCAGGUUACAAAUCUGGCUGUCGAGAUGCCUAAAAAGCAUUUCAUAGCAAGGGCCGGGCAAGACCGGUGCCAGCCGCCGCGGUAACACCGGCGGCUCGAGUGGUAACCGUUAUUAUUGGGUCUAAAGGGUCUGUAGCCGGCCGGAUAAGUCUCUUGAGAAAUCUGGCAGCUUAACUGUCAGGCUUUCAGGAGAUACUGUCUGGCUCGAGGCCGGGAGAGGUGAGAGGUACUUCAGGGGUAGGGGUGAAAUCUUGUAAUCCUUGAAGGACAACAAGUGGAGAAGGCGUCUCACCAGAACGGACCUGACGGCAAGGGACGAAAGCUAGGGGCACGAACC